AAUAAAGGCUUGUGUUGUUAUGUACGACUGCCAGUAGGUACUUUUUAACGCAGUCUAAGAAUAUCGUCACUUUGUGCGAGUCUCAGCUGCCAUAAAGCCACUCAGAGAUGAAUAGGUGCAGAGUUUAUGGUGCCACAUCUCAGAAGCUGCUAAAUCUCAGAGUUAAACCUGCUGCUCUCCCCGGUUUUUGCAGCCAAGCUAGAGCUCCGGGACACAAAGCCAGGUACUGCUGGUUGAUUACCUGCCAGAGUGAGGAGGAGGCUUGAUAAACACAACAGCUCCGAUGCAUUGUGCUUUCGUAACAGUGGCAAAUAAAUUGCAUUUGGCUGCCGGGCUAGCGCGAAGUUCCCACCUUGGACGUAAUGCAGGAACGUUUGCGGAAAAGUGGGCAGCUUGAUGAGAAGCCAGAGGCGAGCAGAACUGGAUGAUUCAAAACGACGCUGGAGGUUGUUGUGGAGUCAGAAAAUGUAUUUUGGCACGAGAACGCUGGCUUUGCCAACAUGAUGCCACUUAGCCGCUUAGUGAUUAAAGCGGAGUGGUGUUUGAGUUAUCACACUUAAGAGUAAUGUGGUGCUUUUUACAUCAGGCUCUGCUGCGACGAAUCACAAACCGUGGGUAAUAAAAUGGAACAGAAUGACAACAUCUCAAAAUAGAAACAGACAUUUCUUUUUCUGAGCUGGGAAACUGACUUAAAACAUAAAGGACUUGUGCUCAUGCAUUUAGACUUAUUACCACUAGAGGGCCACUUUAUUAUUUGCAACUUGAAAUAAAAAUCCACAAAACUUU